UCCCUUGUAGCUCAGUUGGUAAAGAAUCUGCCUGCAAUGCAGAAGACCCAGGUUCGAUACCUGGGUUGGGAA